CGGAGGAUCCAAGCGUUAUCCGGAAUCAUUGGGUUUAAAGGGUCCGUAGGCGGGUUUAUAAGUCAGUGGUGAAAGCCCAUCGCUCAACGAUGGAACGGCCAUUGAUACUGUAGAUCUUGAAUUAUUAGGAAGUAACCAGAAUAUGUAGUGUAGCGGUGAAAUGCUUAGAGAUUACAUGGAAUACCAAUUGCGAAGGCAGGUUACUACUAAUGGAUUGACGCUGAUGGACGAAAGCGUGGGUAGCGAACAGGAUUAGAUACCCUGGUAGUCCACGCCGUAAACGAUGGAUACUAGCUGUUCGGAGCAAUCUGAGUGGCUAAGCGAAAGUGAUAAGUAUCCCACCUGGGGAGUACGUUCGCAAGAAUG
rnacentral:rRNA from 1 species